UACGGGGGGAGCAAGCGUUGUUCGGAUUUACUGGGCGUAAAGGGCGCGUAGGCGGCCUGUGCAAGUCAGUUGUGAAAUCUCCGAGCUUAACUCGGAACGGUCAACUGAUACUGCUCGGCUAGAGUGCGGAAGGGGCAACUGGAAUUCUUGGUGUAGUGGUGAAAUGCGUAGAUAUCAAGAGGAACACCUGCGGCGAAGGCGGGUUGCGUGGGCCGACACGUGACGCUGAUGCGCGAAAGCUAGGGGAGCGAACGGG
rnacentral:rRNA from 1 species